UAAUUGGGGAAAACUUGAAGAAAAGCAAUUAUCUGAUAAAAUUUUUUUUUCUUCUUUAAAUGAUUUAAAUAUACCCGAUUAUGAGUGUGCACUUGAAGUAUGGUCUCACGUCAAUAUUAAAACAUUAGGAUAACAAUUGCUACUUCUGCAACAGCAGCAUCAAGCCCAACUCCAACUCCAACAACUACAAUUGCAGCAGGAGCAGCAGCUACAACAACUGCAGUACAAGCUACAACUUUAACAGCAAAAGCCCUGGUAACAGCAGAUUGCGCAACUGGAACAACAGCUACAUCGUGGUGAGCGACCUGCACAGCCGAAUCGCAAUCGGUACAAUGCAGCAGGUCGUAGCCGAGCAAUGUGGCGUGGUAGAAGAGGUGAAGGAAGGGGGCGGGUGACUAAACCUGUAAUCAAUAAAUUUUACGGACGCCAUUUCCA